UUAACUACCCGUCACCCAUGGCGAGGACCGGCCAUUGCACUCCGGCAGGGCUGACCUGUGUGGGAAUCUGGACUGCAAAGUCUGUGGUAGUGGGAGACUGUGUUUGCACUCUCCCCUG
rnacentral:snRNA from 1 species